rnacentral:rRNA from 1 species
CAAGUCGAACGGGGAAUUACUUUAUUGAAACUUCGCGUCGAUUUAAUUUAAUUCUAGUGGCGGACGGGUGAGUAACGCGUGGGAAACCUGCCUUGUACAGGGGGAUAAAAGUCCGAAAUGACUGCUAAUACCGCAUAAGCGCACAGGAACCGCAUGGUCC